rnacentral:rRNA from 1 species
GAUCAUGGCUCAGGAUGAACGCUAGCUACAGGCUUAACACAUGCAAGUCGAGGGGCAGCGCAGUGUAGCAAUACAUGGGCGGCGACCGGCGCACGGGUGCGUAACGCGUAUCCAACCUUCCCGUUACUCUUGGAUAGCCUUCCGAAAGGGAGAUUAAUACAGGAUGGUGUUCAAAUUCCGCAUGUUAUUUGAACUAAAGAUUUAUCGGUAACGGAUGGGGAUGCGUGACAUUAGAUAGUAGGCGGGGUAACGGCCCACCUAGUCUACGAUGUCUAGGGGUUCUGAGAGGAAGGUCCCCCACACUGGAACUGAGACACGGUCCAGACUCCUACGGGAGGCAGCAGUGAGGAAUAUUGGUCAAUGGUCGGAAGACUGAACCAGCCAAGUAGCGUGAAGGAUGAAGGUUCUAUGGAUUGUAAACUUCUUUUAUACGGGAAUAAAACACCUUACGUGUAGGGUCUUGUAUGUACCGUAUGAAUAAGCAUCGGCUAACUCCGUG